UUCAUUUGAUGCUGAUAAAUAUUUAUAUUUUCAGAUUCACUAUACGUCAAGAAAAGCAUUAAGAUUCAAAUAUUGUCUUAUUAAAUAUCUUUAGUAAUUUCGGUAAAAGGUAUUGCAAAGCUAAAAUUGACAAUUUAUUAAAAGUGUUCUUGUCAUCAGUGACAUCAACAUCAGUGAUUAAUCGAAAUUAAUCGUGCCUUCGUUGCAGAUGAGAUUAUACUCGUAGAUGAAUGUUCUCAACGAGGACAGUGGGUCGACAAUCUGUAAACGUUUCUCAACUUUGCCGUGACUACAUAUGAAGUGUACAAAUACCAAUAUUAUUGUGUCUUAGCCGCAUUUCGUCCUCAAUUUCACUUAAAUUAACUUUAAAGUCUGCAUGAACACUUGGAUACCCAUAUGUUUCACCACUGAUAUGUUCCCAUCGUAACACCCCAUAAUGAUUUGGGGACUGGAGAAUCCUCCAAUUAUGAUGACACGGAUCUAAUGGAAACUGAUUACGUUACGUGGACAGGACAACGUGACUUUUUUUUUUCUUAAUCCAACAUUAAUCGUUGCUCGUUGAAGUAACCGUUCAAAUAAAUUGACCCGCAGGAAUUCCGGUCGCUUUAACGAGCGAGUUAGGGGGUAGAUCAAUUAAACGUUAUGAAACGAUGCCGUUUCUUUGCCAGGCAUGUAUCCGUCGUGUCCAUGGCAAGGAUUUACCUUGAGUUUCUUUCUUUGCCAGACAUUCAUGACCAAAGCAUUUUAUUUCUUUUUUUCUCCUUGACAUAUUGAUCAAACGUUCUACUUUGUCUGUUGCGUUGUAAUUUAUCCGGUAAGGAUAUAAGACUAUCAAUAUUUAAAUGUCGUAUCAUCUUUAAACUGUCACAUAACUCCGAUAACGCAAAAUUAAUUUCCAUUCAUGAUUGCGUUUUUAUUUAUACUAAUUAAAACCAAUUGUUACAUUUAUCAAUAUUUAUUAACUGUAUACAGUUGCCUGGGAUAAGAUUAGAAGCAAAAAUUGGAUUAAAGAGCUUCAUUUAAAGUACCAAAACAUACCCAAGUACUUACUCAUCUAUCAAUAAGAAAGAUUGCAGUUCAGUUCAAGAUGUUUAUUGAGAGAUUGAAAGAUUGAGAAAUUAUUUUUAGAGUAGCAAGAUACUACAAGAUAAAUGACAAUUGAAAGUAUUAAUAAAUAUGACUACGUGCGUUUGCAUCUCCAUCAACAAUCAUCUUUCUAAGCUGGCAAGACAAUCAGACCAGAGAAGGUCCAUGAAUCAAUCCUUGUGUACGUCAAAUUGAUCUAGUCCCCUUUGUAUUUUUGUAUAAUUUACUUUGUAAUUUAAAUAAUGUAAUAUUCAUAUAUAUCAUAACAAAAUACAGAACUUCUUUUGCCACGUAUUUCUUUUAUAUUUCUUUAAUAUCAUCUACAGACCAAUGACAAUUCUAUCUACACUAUCACCAUCAAGCCAUUCACGCAAUAGAAUAAUAUUCAUUGCAGCGAGACAAUGCAAAAGCACUUACUGUCGAUUUACGAAAAUCGAAACGUCCAAGUCAAAAGCGUCCACUAGAUACUGUAGCGAAGAUCUCAAGUUCUCCGAAUCACAUCUAUCAUAGAUCUACAUCUAUCACCACCUACUCAAAACCAGUAAAAAAUCGAAAACUUCUACAUUAUAUGAAAAUAAAAAUUCAAGCUUAACGUGUACAUAAAAUUGAAAAUGUCUCUAUUAAAAAGCGCACGAUCUUCUUUUAGCCUCGAGAAUUAGAAGAAAAUCUUCGAUAGAGGAUCGCGAGCGGAGAAUCACUCGAUAUCUAAGGUUUGAAAUCGAGGAAGGAACACCCGAAGUAGUGACUUGGAGGAUCGUCGAUCGACUAAUGCUGCUUCACCUUUCUAGAGAAUAGCUUUCAAAGAUCGUUCCAAGGACGACAAUCUUCGUAAGGUCGCUGGUAGAUAAGAAACAAAGACCGAAUCGUUUUGAAGGCUCCGCAUCCACUGCCCUUCUCCCUGACGCGUUGAAAUCACGAAGGAGAUCGAGAAAAAAAAGCGGAGAUGAGACGCCAGAAAACGAGGGCGAUGAACGAACUUGCGAAUCCCUGUUACGAGUCAUUAGAGACUCGAUACUUGAAUGAUGUUAAAUGGCUUUUAAGUAACCUUCGGAGAUUGACGUGAAUGUAAAUUAUCGUUUUCUGUGCCUACGUUCUUUAUUUGUCUAUGCAAAGAAGAAUAAUAAGACUUUUAGAUACUUUGUAUGCUGUUGUUUGCAGAAAUUAAUUAGGCAGAUAGGCCAUAGACGAACGAAUUAAAUACGUAACGAACUUUUCGAACGACUUAAUAACUGGAUUGAAGUCAGUGA
rnacentral:lncRNA from 1 species